rnacentral:rRNA from 1 species
CGGGACGGGUGAGUAAUGUAUGGGGAUCUGCCUGAUGGCGGGGGAUAACUACUGGAAACGGUAGCUAAUACCGCAUAACGUCGCAAGACCAAAGAGGGGGACCUUCGGGCCUCUUGCCAUCGGAUGUGCCCAGAUGGGAUUAGCUAGUAGGUGGGGUAACGGCUCACCUAGGCGACGAUCCCUAGCUGGUCUGAGAGGAUGACCAGCCACACUGGAACUAAGACACGGUCCAG